UACGAAGGGGGCUAGUGUUGUUCGGAAUUACUGGGCGUAAAGCGCAUGUAGGCGGAUAUUUAAGUCAGGGGUGAAAUCCCGCAGCUCAACUGCGGAACUGCCUUUGAUACUGGGUAUCUUGAGUAUGGAAGAGGUGAGUGGAAUUCCGAGUGUAGAGGUGAAAUUCGUAGAUAUUCGGAGGAACACCAGUGGCGAAGGCGGCUCACUGGUCCAUUACUGACGCUGAGGUGCGAAAGCGUGGGGAGCAAACAGG
rnacentral:rRNA from 1 species